rnacentral:rRNA from 1 species
AGUGAACGCUGGCGGUAGGCCUAACACAUGCAAGUCGAACGGUAGCACAGGAGAGCUUGCUCUCUGGGUGGCGAGUGGCGGACGGGUGAGGAAUACAUCGGAAUCUACUCUGUCGUGGGGGAUAACGUAGGGAAACUUACGCUAAUACCGCAUACGACCUACGGGUGAAAGCAGGGGAUCUUCGGACCUUGCGCGAUUGAAUGAGCCGAUGUCGGAUUAGCUAGUUGGCGGGGUAAAGGCCCACCAAGGCGACGAUCCGUAGCUGGUCUGGGAGGAUGAUCAGCCACACUGGAACUGGGACACGGUCCAGACUCCUACGGGAGGCAGCAGUGGGGAAUAUUGGACAAUGGGCGCAAGCCUGAUCCAGCCAUACCGCGUGGGUGAAGAAGGCCUUCGGGUUGUAAAGCCCUUUUGUUAGGAAAGAAAUCCAGCUGGUUAAUACCCGGUCGGGAUGACGGUACCCAAAGAAUAAGCACCGGCUAACUUCGUGCCAGCAGCCGCCGUAA